UCUCACCCAGACACCCACUCAUCCACAUGUGGGGCCCACGGAACUCGAUGCAUUUUCUCUCCCGUUGCCUUUCGGCUCUCCGGCACGCGCUCUCUAGAUCUCUCUAUCUCCAUUCCUUUUUUUCUCCUUAGCGACAGUGCAUCUCACGCUUAGGGUUUCGCCGGCGAGGCGACUCCGGAGCUCGCCAAUCGCGUGCCGCCGGCGAGGCGGCUGGGACCCGUACCCAUCGGCAACAGAGCUCGCCGUGGCCGGCGGUGAUGGUGGGAGGCGGAGCUCCGCACGGAUCUGCCCGCGCACUCGACCCGGCCUCGCGCCUCGAAGCGUGGCGGCGCGAUGGGCAACGACCGCUUCCCUUUGUGGGCGGGCACAUCAGGAAGUUGCGGCAACUCCGGCAGAAGCAGGUACCACCGGUGGCGGAGGCCUCGUGAGCCAGACCCGGGAAGCAGGGGGUCCUGGUGAGAAUCUCACGGUUCUGGGAGUGCCGUAGCUGCCCUUCAAGUGCCAGCAGCAGGCAACUCCAUCGAUGCCAUCGCCGACCUCAGCCACACGCUCAAGAUCAGCUAGGCAUUGAAAUGAUAUCUGUGCUGACGAUGGUGCGGCUGCAGUAGGAGAGCUCAAGAGGGAACUAGAGAAAGGCCCAGGCCUAUGCUUCCAAGCCACCUGAAAGCAGAGGACAGUAAGUGUUUUCCUUGGCUGGCUUGGGAUUUUGACUUUGCCACUGGAUUGGACUGAAGCUGGUUUUCUACUCUUAUUUUUAGUUACUCCUAGCUCUUAUCUGAAGUGGAGCAAGAAAGAACCAUCAUAUUUCUCAAUCUCUACAGCUGAAGAAGUGUGGAGAAGAUGCAGGUUCAUGGGUGAACAAGAACUGAAACAAGUAACAGUUUUUUUAGUUACAAAACCUUUUAAUUGGGUCUGAAUUGAUUCCAAAUUGAUGUGAUAUUUGUCUGGCAAUAACUUUCAAUUUCGCUAUAAAGAGUCAGAUUGGUAUGGUGUGAUCCCAGUCUGGUGUGAUCCCAGUAAUGUUGCACCAACGCUACACUAUUUACUCUUAGAAGAAAUCUAACAGUUUCGAGAUUUGGAAUAUCAGUAUAUUAUUUGUG